rnacentral:rRNA from 1 species
AGAAUCAACGCUGGCGGCGUGCCUAACACAUGCAAGUCGAACGAGAAAGUGGAGCAAUCCAUGAGUAAAGUGGCGCACGGGUGAGUAACACGUGACUAACCUACCCUUGAGUGGGGAAUAACUUCGGGAAACCGAGGCUAAUACCGCAUAACACCUACGGGUCAAAGGAGCAAUUCGCUUAAGGAGGGGGUCGCGGCCGAUUAGCUAGUUGGCGGGGUAAUGGCCCACCAAGGCAAUGAUCGGUAGCCGGCCUGAGAGGGCGCACGGCCACACUGGAACUGAAACACGGUCCAGACUCCUACGGGAGGCAGCAGUGGGGAAUUUGCGCAAUGGGGGAAACCCUGACGCAGCAACGCCGCGUGGAGGAUGAAGCCCCUUGGGGUGUAAACUCCUUUCGAUCGGGACGAUUAUGACGGUACCGGAUGAAGAAGCACCGGCUAACUCUGUGCCAGCAGCCGC